rnacentral:rRNA from 1 species
AUUGAACGCUGGCGGCAUGCUUUACACAUGCAAGUCGAACGGCAGCACGGGCUUCGGCCUGGUGGCGAGUGGCGAACGGGUGAGUAAUAUAUCGGAACGUACCCAAGAGUGGGGGAUAACGUAGCGAAAGUUACGCUAAUACCGCAUACGAUCUAUGGAUGAAAGUGGGGGAUCGCAAGACCUCAUGCUCCUGGAGCGGCCGAUAUCUGAUUAGCUAGUUGGGGAGGUAAAAGCUCAACAAGGCGACGAUCAGUAGCUGGUCUGAGAGGACGACCAGCCACACUGGAACUGAGAGACGGUCCAGACUCCUACGGGAGGCAGCAGUGGGGAAUUUUGGACAAUGGGCGCAAGCCUGAUCCAGCAAUGCCGCGUGAGUGAAGAAGGCCUUCGGGUUGUAAAGCUCUUUUGUCAGGGAAGAAACGGUGGGAGCUAAUAUCUCCUACUAAUGACGGUACCUGAAGAAUAAGCACCGGCUAACUACGUGCCAGCAGCCGCCGUAAGAC